CCUACGGGGGGCAGCAGUAGGGAAUCUUCCACAAUGGGCGAAAGCCUGAUGGAGCAACGCCGCGUGGGUGAAGAAGGUCUUCGGAUCGUAAAACCCUGUUGUUAGAGAAGAAAGUGCGUGAGAGUAACUGUUCACGUUUCGACGGUAUCUAACCAGACAGCCACGGCUAACUACGUGCCAGCAGCCGCGGCAAUACGUAGGUGGCAAGCGUUAUCCGGAUUUAUUGGGCGUAAAGGGAACGCAGGCGGUCUUUUAAGUCUGAUGUGAAAGCCUUCGGCUUAACCGGAGUAGUGCAUUGGAAACUGGGAGACUGGAGUGCAGAAGAGGAGAGUGGAACUCCAUGUGUAGCGGUGAAAUGCGUAGAUAUAUGGAAGAACACCAGUGGCGAAAGCGGCUCUCUGGUCUGUAACUGACGCUGAGGUUCGAAAGCGUGGGUAGCAAACAGGAUUAGAUACCCCAGUAGUC
rnacentral:rRNA from 1 species